UGGGGAAUAUUGGACAAUGGGCGAAAGCCUGAUCCAGCCAUGCCGCAUGAGUGAAGAAGGCCUUUGGGUUGUAACGCUCUUUUAGUGAGGAAGAUAAUGACGGUACUCACAGAAGAAGUCCUGGCUAACUCCGUGCCAGCAGCCGCGGUAAUACGGAGAGGGCUAGCGUUAUUCGGAAUUAUUGGGCGUAAAGGGCGCGUAGGCUGGUUAAUAAGUUAAAAGUGAAAUCCCGAGGCUUAACCUUGGAAUUGCUUUUAAAACUAUUAAUCUAGAGAUUGAAAGAGGAUAGAGGAAUUCCUGAUGUAGAGGUAAAAUUCGUAAAUAUUAGGAGGAACACCGGUGGCGAAGGCGUCUAUCUGGUUCAAAUCUGACGCUGAAGCGCGAAGGCGUGGGGAGCAAACA
rnacentral:rRNA from 1 species